rnacentral:rRNA from 2 species
UUUAACUGGCUAUAUGCAGUCGACGAACUCUGGUAUUGAUGGUGCUUGCAUCAUGAUUUACAUUUGAGUGAGUGGCGAACUGGUGAGUAACACGUGGGAAACCUGCCCAGAAGCGGGGGAUAACACCUGGAAACAGAUGCUAAUACCCAUAACAACUUGGACCGCAUGGUCCGAGUUUGAAGAUGGCUUCGGCUAUCACUUUUGGAUGGUCCCGCGGGUAUUAGCUAGAUGGGAGUAACGGCUCACCAUGGCAAUGAUACGUAACUUAAGCCGACCUGAGAGGGUAAUCGGCCACAUUGGGACUGAGACACGGCCCAAACUCCUACGGGAGGCAGCAGUAGGGAAUCUAAAAUUCCACAAUGGACGAAAGUCUGAUGGAGCAACGCCGCGUGAGUGAAGAAGGGUUUCGGCUCGUAAAACUCUGUUGUUAAAGAAGAACAUAUCUGAGAGUAACUGUUCAGGUAUUGACGGUAUUUAACCAGAAAGCCACGGCUAACUACGUGCCAGCAGCCGCGGUAAUACGUAGGUGGCAAGCGUUGUCCCCGAGGAUUUAUUGGGCGUAAAGCGAGCGCAGGCGGUUUUUUAAGUCUGAUGUGAAAGCCUUCGGCUCAACCGAAG